rnacentral:rRNA from 1 species
UAGUUGGUGAGGUAACGGCCCACCAAGGCGACGAUCGGUAGCCGAACUGAGAGGUUGAACGGCCACAUUGGGACUGAGACACGGCCCAGACUCCUACGGGAGGCAGCAGUGGGGAAUAUUGCACAAUGGGGGAAACCCUGAUGCAGCGACGCCGCGUGGAGGAAGAAGGUCUUCGGAUUGUAAACUCCUGUUGUUGAGGAAGAUAAUGACGGUACUCAACAAGGAAGUGACGGCUAACUACGUGCCAGCAGCCGCGGUAAAACGUAGGUCACAAGCGUUGUCCGGAAUUACUGGGUGUAAAGGGAGCGCAGGCGGGAGAACAAGUUGGAAGUGAAAUCCAUGGGCUCAACCCAUGAACUGCCUUCAAAACUGUUUUUCUUGAGUAGUGCAGAGGUAGGCGGAAUUCCCGGUGUAGCGGUGGAAUGCGUAGAUAUCGGGAGGAACACCAGUGGCGAAGGCGGCCUACUGGGCACCAACUGACGCUGAGGCUCGAAAGUGUGGGUAGCAAACAGGAUUAGAUACCCUGGUAGUCCACACCGUAAACGAUGAUUACUAGGUGUUGGAGGAUUGACCCCUUCAGUGCCGCAGUUAACACAAUAAGUAAUCCACCUGGGGAGUA